CUCCCGCCUGGAGCCCGGCGGCGGCUGCGCCUCACGCGGCGGUGUCGCCGCUUCCGCUGCGCACGGGGACAGCCCCGCAGGUGCGGUGGCCGCCUUCCCGCCCCCGCUACCCCGGCAGGAGCCGCCCCUGUCCCGGCCUCAGCCCGCGGUGAGGGGGAGCGGGGCGGCCUGAGGGGAGCUGCCCGCCAUAGCGGUCUUGGUGCGGGGGGGUGGCGCGGAGCUGCACCGGCGCGUGUGGCGAAGGGAGCGCCAGCCGUCCUGUGAGCACUGCCCUCACCCUGUCGUGAUAGGAGCCUCAUCCAGUCCAGGGGUGAGUGUGGGGUUGGCCCCCACCUCAGGAGCAUCAUACUGUGGGGCUGGCGCGCUCUGUCGCGACAGGAGCAUCAUCCAGUCAGAACGUGAGGGUGAGACUCACACGGGGAGGCCGUGGAUUAUCCCUCUCUGGAGACAUUCCAAACCCACCUGGGCGCGUUCCUGUGUCACCCUGCCUUGGCAGAGGGUUGACUGGGUGUUAUCAUGGGUCCCUUCCAACCCUAAAGACUGUGAUUCUGUGGGGCUGCACCAGCCCCUGUCGUGACAGGAGCCUCAUCCAUCACGAGUGUGCAGAGGUGAGGGCCGUGUGCCUCGGUGCUGUGACGGCGGCUCACUCCCCAGAGGUUCUGCCCUGCGCUGGCGCUGAGCAGUGUCCCCAGUUGCCGUCGCACACAUCCCAGUGACAGCACACUCAGCCCCGGCGAUAACGUGAGGAGGAAUAAACUGCACGCUGUGAUUUCAGCGCGGGUGUGGGGUGAGGUACCAGCUUUCCUCAGCGCUGUAUCUCGGCUCUGGCACAAGCACAGGAACCAAUAAAGAACACAGAAAGCUGACUGAUCCAUCCAAUCCCACCCAGUAAUUUACGGGAACUUCAGUGAACACAAACCAGAGAGAAAUCAGCGCCAACUGACAUUAAUACACCUGCAACACACGCACAACACAGCAAGCAGCUCAGCACACAGCAUAAACACCUUCAAAACUUGGUACAUAUGCAUGUGCAAAUACCAAAGCUGAUCCCUACAUGUGUGCUGGCUUACAUAAAUGCAGAUCCUACAUACAAUCUGCAUUUCCGCCACUUACAAACCACCCACAGCACCAUGCUAUAAGAAACUACAUGUCUGAUCUGGAAUGAAAUAUCUUAGUCUUAACCUCUGUGCUAGAAAAGGGAUGGAGAGGGACAGCCCAUAUAAAAUUAUGGUGUUCUAGGGUACGUGGAGCCCUAUAUCCUUUCUAACAAAAGUACAACUGCUCUAAAAGACUCCUCUGUGAAUGGCCAAAGUCCAAGAAAGGAGGACUUGACAGCCCACACUUCACAGGGCAGUUGAAUGAAAAUUCCUGAGCUAGAUCUGAUGACCUAGUUCAGGUAAGGCAAUUACUUAUUCCAUGCCAUGCCCAUAUUAAUUUCAUCUUGCUUAUCAGCAGGAUUAAUCAGCAUGGCCAAAUGUUGCAUCAGUACAGUUAUGUUGCUUUUCAUACCUCACACUACACCCAAAUAGACUUAGCCUGUUACAGAGGUGAAGAAUUUAACUGUAGUUUAUACAGUUUACUGUAAUUUCUUAACCAGUUAUAAUAGUUUUUUUCAUAUGGUAUGAACCCGUGAUGCCACCAUCCCCGAAACAUAUAUAUAUGCAUAUGCAACAUUAAAAAUACAUGAUUUCCACAAUAAUUCCAUAUGGAAUAAUGCCAGCUACUUGAAUUAAUGUAUUUCAUUACCAGCUCAGUGUAUCUCUAUGAGUAGUUUCUUCCCUUCUGCCACAUUAAUAAAACCUGCAUUAUAUAUACGUUUUUUGUAAAAAUACAUUUACCAACCAAUAUUUGUACACACAAGCUUAUUUACUAGCCUUCAUAUACAAGUGCACGUGUAAAGGACUUGAAAGUCCUGCCUUUCAUUUUCUUACCAUUUUAAAGUAUUACAAUUAAGCAUCUCUGUCAAUUUUCAAAACAAAAUGAUACUAGUAAGAAACCCAGGUCACAUUUCAUAUUAUUUCUCCCUGUGUUACAUUUCCUGUGUCAUUCUUGGUUUCUUUUUUGUGCCUGUUUCCUAAAGGCCUUAUGGAAAAUUAUUUUAAGCAUACCAGAGGCAUGGCACAUGCAAUUAGAUCUUGGCAGAGGGUAAAAUAAAGUAGAUACUGUGUUCUUUCUAUCUAACUUGUUAACAGGAGAAAAUGCUGCUAGGAAGGCAAACAGAGUCUGAAUUCUAGCAAAUCCUGGAGAACUCUUGGCAUUCUCUGGGGUUCACUAGUUCAGCUACAGUCUGACAACUCCCAUUCGUUGUUUCUCUCUCAUCUAUUCAGUACAGAGAAUUUGAUUCUUCCCCUUUUUUUCCACCCUAUAUAAAAUCUGGAAAGAACCUGGAAGCACAGUCCUCUGCCUGUGUUUAUUUCUGUCACGUGUUCUGUUAUGGCUCAGUGAAUUUUGAGAGAAGAAUGGCUGAAUUAAGGACUUUUCUACAGUUCUUUCUCUUUCGGAGCAGAAUAACCUCUACAUUUCCUUCACAGUCCUUUCCCUGUCUUUCUCGAGAAGUGCAGGACCACUGCUGCUGGCCAGUGAGGACUCCUUUGCAGGCAAUGUGCAUUCCUGUAUCAGCAGCAGGUAGAAUUUGACUUCCACUGAGACUGAGAGACUAUGAACACAAAGGAUGGUGUUGCUGCUGGGAGAUUUCUAGGACUGGAUCUCUGUUCCUGCACAAAGAACUCCUUGCUGCCUUGGAAGUGUAAAAGAGGCACCGAGACAGAGUCUGAGCUCAGUGACAGUAACCAUGAGAGAUCACUGUUUGGCUUGAGUUCUUGCAUGGUGCCAUGAACAGAUCUACCAUGCCACGGUCUUCUGUCAUUCCAUGUAUUUGCUGAAUCACAAGGAAAAGUCACACUCUCUCUGACUUUUCAAGAUUGAAAGGAAGACAAGCAGGUGCACUCCAUGUAGGUGAGAAGCAAUAAUGUAAGAUUGAACAGCUUUUCUUACUCAUGGAGAUGACUCCAUUUUCAGGCAUUGUUUGGGACUAAUGGCACAUGACUACCACUCUUCUUAGACGUGUGACACUUUGUGAUAUGACACAAGCCGAAGUUUCUGUGUUUCUUGUGGAGGAUUUCCUCUGAACUCACAGAUUUGUGUAAUGUUGCCUUCAAUGGAGUAGUGAAAAGAAGCUUGGAUUGAAGGAGAAAGCGAAAGCAUCAUCAGACAUUGUCCUGCCGUAUUCUGACUGCAAAUUCAAGAAUCUCUGGCUGAAAUGGAGGGUACAGUACAAACUGUCUAUCUGGGGUUCAUUGCUUUUAUCCAGAAUUCCUAACUGGAAAAUAUAUUCUGUCUCUUCUGGAUGGCAGCUGCUAAAAGACAAUUCUUGCUCCCGUCUGCUCUGUGUGCCAGGAAUGCUGUGGACUGUUUACUGUUCUUGUUGAGACUUGCUGCAAAAUUAGGGCCACGUCUUAGCUUCAGUCAGCCAUGCAGGAGUGGGAGGAGGAGCACCGGGUACUCCAGGAAUAAUUUAGGUGUGGCAGCCAGAAAUUUUGCAGCACUGAAAGAACACAACAGGCAUUCUUGCUACUCCACUGCUGGCUGGUGCUGCCUUCACCUGGGGAGUUUGUGGCAGCACUGAAAUGGAACAACACUUGUGGAGCUCUUCAGACCUGUGCAAAGGGAGGGAGAAGCACUGUUGUUCCAAAUCACAGCAUUUGACAUGCACCUCUGCCUCCCCAGUCCAAAAAUGCACUUCCCUUCUCACAGUUAGCAAUGUCACCAUGUUCCUCUGUCCUGGUGUCGCCUGGGAUAGAGUUAAUUUUCCUCCCAGUAACUGGUGUAGAGUGGUGUGAGUGAGGGGCUGCGUGGUGUUUAGCUGCCUGCUGCGUUAAACCACCUCCUAUUCCUGUCUUUGCAUAUUCCAUCUCUGCACACUUGAAAUUCCUUCAGGCCUGAGCCUCGGGGCAGUGUGUUCAGUUCAUGUACCAUUCCCAAAUGUGAAUCUGAUUACCUUGCAGAUACAACAGUCUACUCAUUUCAAAUGUCACAGAAAAAAACUAAGAAGAAGAAUUAAAAUCUCAUUGAGAGUGAUAAAGACAUGAAUUGGUUCUGGCCUGUGUUCACGUAGCACCUGUUUGUGACAACUGUAGGAAGGGAUAAGUGGAUUUGCUAAUUCAUAUUUGCUGUGCAGAACUCCCUGCUGCUCUGCAAAGCUGGGGGAUCUCCACUGAUUAAACUGAUCUUUAAAGGCAAGCACCACUUUGAAAAAAAAAGUCCAAUCACCGAGCUGUGGGAAUCUGGCAGGUAUUCCUUCAAAGCCUGGGGAUGCUCAUCUUCCAUAAGAAAACUUGGAGCAUUCAAUAUUCUCAUAUGUUGAGACAAUUUUAGGGUGGUUUUGUGAUACCUGUUAAGGCCUCAAACUACUGGAAUUGGGGGCAUUUUGUAGUCAUUUUAUGAUGGAUAUGAUGUGCUGCAGCCAUGAACAGCUUCUGUGGCUUCUGUGUUUCUUUCUGUACCGACAUUUUGGCUGAUGGGAAAGAGAUGUCUUUCCACGUGGCAUGGGAUGUAUGCAGCUCAUCUCAACUCUUAUUAAAUGUGAUGUCCAAUUUUUUUUAAUCAAACCCCUAAUCUCCUAUCCAUUAACAAUUUUUGUUUGAAAAAGUGUGGUUGCCACUGGAAACCAUGACAUACCAGUUAAUCCUUUUGUUUGAUCCUGGCUUACACAAGACUGGGUUUUGUUACUCUUUCUGUACAUUUUGAUUCCUUCUGAAUCAUCCAAACAAGAGGUCUGAAAGCCAUUAUACACCAAAGCAGUACCAGUAGUUUAUUUUUUUGCUGUUUUGGCUCAAAGAAGCAUCAAUUCACUUAUUCUGAUUAGCAAAGAGGCUCAGUUAAAUUCAUUCUCACUUCAAUUCAAUGAGAGGACGUUUUCUUUCUCCUAAGUGCAAUGAAAUAAAAAGCAGAAAUUGAAGAGGGGUUUGGGUUGGUUUGUUUGUUUUUGAUGAAGAGAAUAUAAAAAUCUUGGGCUAUAAAUUCACCAUGACAGUAAAAAUACGUGUCAGAUUUUGGGAUGGGUUGGCUUUGUGCCAGUCAGCACUCCGUACGCUGGACCAUGUGUUGGCUUCAUGAACCUUUUUUACUUUAUGCUGCCAUAAUCUUUAUAUGUCUGUCCUCUCACAAGCUGAAUAAAUGUCAUGUAGGACAUUCUGUCCCAUCUGUCACAAGUGCUAUUGUGUGUCUGGAUCCGUAUUGGAUUAGUAUUGAUGAGAGAUCCCAGGUAUUCUAUACAAAACGUGUAUUAAGGACGAUGUAUAGAAAGUACAGAUAUGAAAACAGAGCUCUUUUGGAAAUAGCUGCAUUAAAGCAGUCUGUUCAAACAUAUUUUGGAAGGUCAUUCUCUUAUUUCAGAGAUGUUUGGGAGUGGUUUGACAUUUUAUUAGUAAUUGUUUACUCUUUGAGGUGUAAACCAGCUGUUGUGGCUUUCACAUGACUAACUAUGCAAGGAUCUGAGAUAAAAUUUCCUAAUAAAUACUUCCAGAAAAUUCUAGAAAAAGCUGUUCCAGAUAUAGAAAUGCCUCAAUGUCAGCUCCUCCCGGACCAAAAAGUAAGAUGCAAAAUAGGCAAGACAGGAAUCUCCCUUUUCUGAAGGCGUAGAGUUUCCAUAUUUAGAUCUGGAGUUCCAUGGCCUUCCACCUGCCACUGGGCAGAGUGGUGACCAUUUGUUGGCUUGCAGGGCAGUGUCAUUUCAGAAAGAAAUUCCACUUGAAAUGGAGAAAGUGGCCAUUUUUGUGAGGUAUAGAUUCAGUUACUUGCAUGACAGCUGCUUGCAGAAGUAAGCCAAGCACUUAAAGGAACGAUUAUAAAGACGCAGAAAUUCUCAACAAACCACUCAGCUUUCUUUUAACUGGAUUGACACAGAAACAACAAAUAAUUAAUUGAGGCCAAAAUACAUGUCGUACUGAGUUUGCAUUAGCUGGAACGUUUGGAAAUAAUUAAGAGCAAAACUGUUAAUACUCCAUUUAAAUAGCUGCUGCCUAUCUGUCCAGUCUGAAAGCCCAAUCUGUUGUAUUCAAUCAGCUUUCAGCUGCUACUUGCCAGCAGCCUAAUUCCCCAGUCUUGUCUCUGUGCUGUGCUUGUGCAUUCCACUACCUGCUAAGUUAAACCCCACAGUCCUGGUGCUGCAUGGAGAUUUCUAGUGCUAUUCCAACUAUCCACACUGGGUCGGAAUAUAUCCCAAACCUGGGGCUCUGGGUAUCCACACCACCACGCCUGGUUCCAGUGGAGCACCACAUGGGGGAAAGGGGAGCAGCAGCUGUGUGGUUUAGCUCCCAGGAUUAGGGCUGUGCUCAUUCAUACCAUUCUCUGGGCAUUUAUGCUGUUGACCUGCAAUAUUUUCACCUCUUUUUUUUAAGUGAUCUAAUGCAGAGUAAGUUGCUCCCCCAAA